rnacentral:rRNA from 1 species
CAUGGCUUAAUGAUAUUGGAUAUUAAGUUGUACCUGCCCAAUGAUUUAAUAAAUUUAAUGGCCGCAGUAAUUUGACUGUGCAAAGGUAGCAUAAUCAUUUGUUUUUUAAUUGGAGACUGGAAUGAAUGGUUUGACGUAAAAAUAGCUUUAUUAAUAAUUUUGUUAAAAAUUAAUUUUUAUGUUAAAAAGCAUAAAUAGUAUUAAGGGACGAAAAGACCCCAUCAAGUUUAAUAUACUAUUUCAAUAUAUAAUUUAAUUCUUAAUUUAUUUGAAUUAUAUAUUUUACUGGGGCGGUAGAAAUAGAUUAUCUUUUUUUAAUUAAAAUGAAUUAUAUUUUAUUAUUUAUCCUAUUUUAUAGAAUUAUAAUAAAUUACUGUGGGGGUAACAGCGUUAUUUUUUUGUAGAGUUCUUAUUAAUAAAAGAGAUUGCGACCUCGAUGUUGGAUUAAAUUUUUCUAUUAGGUGAAGAUGCUUAAUGGGAUAGUCUGUUCGACUAUUAAAUAUUUACGUGAUC